rnacentral:sRNA from 2 species
GGAAUAGCUGCCGAAGACAGCAGGUGCCGUAAGGCAUAAGGAUAAAAACGCCUGCCGAGGAAAGAUUCAUUCUUUAUAGAUAAGAUUGAUUUUUAAACCUCUUUGUCUUGUGCAAAGAGGUUUUCUUAAUUU